GUCUAGACAUGCAUCUGACAGUGUUUGCAUUAAGGACAAGGAGCGAUGGGGUAGUAGUUGGAGACAGAUGGGAGAGUCUAGAUCCAGGUAAAUGUAUCGAUAAAUCAGUCUCCCCACACUAGGUUGUAAACUCCAAGUUGGCAGGCACUCCUGGAUUCUGGAAUAGUCCCGGGCACAUUUAAUAAAAGAAUAAAAAUGAUGCAACAGCCAUACCAACCACAUGGUGGAACAGCAGAAGUCAGGAUUUGCGCCUUGCACUGAUCCUUAAGAGACCAACCGAGGAGACUGAAGGGGGCGAGGCCUGGGCAGGAGCGUGGGCUCUGGAGGCACACCCUGGCUCUGGCUUGCUUUCUUGGUCUCUAAAUUAUGACUGGAAAACCAGUCAGGUGGCAAGGCUCAGAAAGCACUGUGAGGCUUCUUGUCCCUGGUCACCAGGCAUCGACAGAGCCCUCUGCUCUCACCUGCCCACCAGUGGCUGAAGCAUUACCAGGUCUGAGCACCUGAGGUCGCCUCGGGUCCCAGCUUCCUGCCAUAUCCUCUGGCAAGUACUGGGGCCCAGCAGGCCAGAAGGACAACUCCCAGAACUAUGGAAAUGGCCGUGGGGGAGGAACAGAGAGCACUGGAAGCAACCUCCAGCAAGACCUGAAGGAGGAGUCUAUCCAGGUCUUGUCCCACUUCUAGGGAUGUAGAAGUCCAUGCGGGCAUCAUCCCUGGUGUGCAGGUGGGGACACGGACAGGCCUUGAGAGACACAAGGACUCAUCCAGGAUGGAGAACAGUUACGAAUCGGGAGGCACUUGUUCACAGGGCUCCUCAUGGGACUGCAGACAGGAGCCAGUCCACGGAGCACCCUGCUCCAUCUCCCUGCACGAGGGGCUGGAGCCCCACACGAGCAACAGAGCCCAGGGCGGGCACAGGGUGAGUGCCAGUCGGGAGGCGAUCCUACACCCAGGAAGUUCCGGGUCCCAGAGCCACCCUGGCCC
rnacentral:lncRNA from 1 species